rnacentral:rRNA from 1 species
AUGCAAGUCGAACGGUAACAGGAAGAAGCUUGCUUCCUUGCUGACGAGUGGCGGACGGGUGAGUAAUGUCUGGGAAACUGCCUGAUGGAGGGGGAUAACUACUGGAAACGGUAGCUAAUACCGCAUAACGUCGCAAGACCAAAGAGGGGGACCUUCGGGCCUCUUGCCAUCGGAUGUGCCCAGAUGGGAUUAGCUAGUAGGUGGGGUAACGGCUCACCUAGGCGACGAUCCCUAGCUGGUCUGAGAGGAUGACCAGCCACACUGGAACUGAGACACGGUCCAGACUCCUACGGGAGGCAGCAGUGGGGAAUAUUGCACAAUGGGCGCAAGCCUGAUGCAGCCAUGCCGCGUGUAUGAAGAAGGCCUUCGGGUUGUAAAGUACUUUCAGCGGGGAGGAAGGGAGUAAAGUUAAUACCUUUGCUCAUUGACGUUACCCGCAGAAGAAGCACCGGCUAACUCCGUGCCAGCAGCCGCGGUAAUACGGAGGGUGCAAGCGUUAAUCGGAAUUACUGGGCGUAAAGCGCACGCAGGCGGUUUGUUAAGUCAGAUGUGAAAUCCCCGGGCUCAACCUGGGAACUGCAUCUGAUACUGGCAAGCUUGAGUC